CCCUGCUGCAGGGGUCUGGCCACUCCCCUGCAGUGGGCAGCCUUGGAUGUGCACCACUCCUCACAGGUGCAGCCUUGGCCAUGUGCACACCAGGAGGGACGACCGUUGUGGGAGCAGAGUCUUCCCCUCUCCUGCCCUGAUCACACCCAGCUGUUGGGCUCCACGGCUUGAGCUUUGCUGACAGCAGUGCCUUGGCACAGAACUGUCUCCAGUCUGAUCCAAUUAAAUGUGGGCCUCUUCACAGGGGGAGUUUUUGAGGUCAGGAUUUGAGACAUGAAGAUCUUCGGAAGGCCAGCCUCUCCCUGUGGGCAAAAUCCCUGAGUCCAGCGCCAUAGCCAGGGAUGAGGGCACACCGUGCUCCUCCAAGUGGCUUCACUAGCAGCAGCACCGGCCUGGAACUUCACCUUUGUGGCACUUGCCUGGUGGGACUGAGGACAGCUGGCGGCCUGCCCCUCCCAGGAAGACGCCCCAACCCUGAUGGAGAGCUGACGCAAGCAGAGCCGUGUUUCUGGGCCGCACGCACCUGGAAUGGAGUCUCUGUCACGCUGAGUGGAGAGGGAGGGGAAGGAAGUGGCUCGUGACUCCAAGGCCACAGACUGCUGCUGUCCUUGGAGAUUUUUGACAGAUUUUCUUGAGUAAUUCCCUGCACUUGCUGCACGCCCUUUGAACAAGGCAAAGACCUGACCUGCUUGCUCUUGUCUUAUUUCCCA